rnacentral:tRNA from 1 species
GGGUCGGUGCCCGAGCGGCCAAAGGGAGCAGACUGUAACUCUGCCGGCGUAUAGCCUUCGAAGGUUCAAAUCCUUCCCGGCCCACCA